AUAUUUUGAUCCUAUGGGGUAUGCUAUACUCUCAAAGGACAAACGAUGCUCACAGUCUGGAAGGUUAUGAUAACCUGCAUAAAGAUUCGCUAAUUAUUGACUGAAAUGAUAUAUGGUAUCCGUUGCAAAUUAAAAGGGACUGUUGACAAAUUAGAAAUUAAUAAGGAAUGACAAAAGGCAGGAGUGUUGCAAACAAACCAAUCAUGUGAUGAAUUCCAAGAGGGAAAGCACUCCUCCAAAAGUUACAUGAUUCUAAAUAAACCCAAAACAACCAGCUAUAAAAACACCACUAUAGAGGCAUCAGAGAGAGGACAAGGGGAAGAACGAAAACAGAGAAUUUAGUGAGGAUAUCACGCACAUACAUUCCGCAAAAAGAGACAUACAACAUAAGCAGAGAUACACACUCGAGGACGCAGAGAGCAUCCCAACAGUGAAAAAACAGAGGGCAUUCAAAAACAUACACACAGACAAGUACCAGAGAACAGUCCAUACACAUUUUACUUAGCAUUACAUAUAGCACAGAGAAUCCAGAAACGAGAACAGAACCGCAGUCUAGAAUACACUUACAGAUCCAGCCAAUAACAUACAACGUCCAUGUCACAAAAAAGAGGGCAACUUGUAAAAUCUCAUAUCACACCAGAGGACAAUUCCAGAAACAUAUCUCACAUACACAAGAAAUAGAUAGGCUGCUGGUCAAGAACACAGAGAUAAAAGUAAUCACAGCAAGGUUAUACACAGGAGCAUUGUCAGGUAAGAAGCGUUUUUUGUUUAGUGACCAAUCUGUGCUUUGAACUUAGACGAUAAAUUUAUAAACAAUUUUACUUAGCCAUACAUAAUUACAUACAUCCAUUCCCAUUUGAUUGAUUCCACAGAGAUACAUAUACUGUCAUUUAACCAAGAACGAAAGUAAAUAAUGCUCUAUAACUACUUUAAAGCAAUGAAAUUUGUUUCUGGAUGAACAUUCAUACCAAUUAGUUUUGUUUCUCAUCAUAUUGAUAAUUACUUCAUACUAAGACAAAUAAGUAAAGUUAGAAGAGGGAUAGGGUUCUUUACCAAAAUCAUUUGCCGAUAACCAACCGUGGAGUCAUGGUUAUACUGCUUUCAUGGCGGAAUUAACGCCAUCAUACGCCAACCUUGUCGGUGUCCCCCCUAUGCUUUAAGGGUUCUCUGUGAGAAUGAAAAGUUGUGAGAAAUAAAUAGGACAGAGAAAAGAGCACGGGUUCAUAGUUAAAGGGAAGUAAAACGGAGAUAGAUGAUCACUAAUUCUUCAAUCCAUCGUGAUAAUCUGUGUUCCUAACCGUGACCCCAACUUCAUCAUCAUGAACCGCCAUCUAGUCACCACCGUGAAUGCAUCUCCAUUGUCGUGAAAGAGAGA
rnacentral:lncRNA from 1 species